UACAGGGGGUGCAAACGUUGCUCGGAAUUAUUGGGCGUAAAGCGCGCGUAGGCGGCCACUUAAGUCGGAUGUGAAAGCCCCUGGCUCAACUGGGGAAGUGCACCCGAAACUGAGCGGCUUGAAUGCAAAAGAGGGUCGCGGAAUUCCCGGUGUAGAGGUGAAAUUCGUAGAUAUCGGGAGGAACACCGGUGGCGAAGGCGGCGACCUGGGUUGACAUUGACGCUCAGGCACGAAAGCGUGGGGAGCAAACAGG
rnacentral:rRNA from 1 species